rnacentral:rRNA from 1 species
GAUGAACGCUGGCGGCGUGCCUAAUACAUGCAAGUCGAGCGAACGGACGAGAAGCUUGCUUCUCUGAUGUUAGCGGCGGACGGGUGAGUAACACGUGGAUAACCUACCUAUAAGACUGGGAUAACUUCGGGAAACCGGAGCUAAUACCGGAUAAUAUUUUGAACCGCAUGGUUCAAAAGUGAAAGACGGUCUUGCUGUCACUUAUAGAUGGAUCCGCGCUGCAUUAGCUAGUUGGUAAGGUAACGGCUUACCAAGGCAACGAUGCAUAGCCGACCUGAGAGGGUGAUCGGCCACACUGGAACUGAGACACGGUCCAGACUCCUACGGGAGGCAGCAGUAGGGAAUUUUCCGCAAUGGGCGAAAGCCUGACGGAGCAACGCCGCGUGGGUGAUGAAGGUCUUCGGGUCGUAAAACUCUUUUAGUGGGGAAGAACAGAAGUGUAAGGAAACGAGCCCCGCUUGACGGUACCCAAACAAAAAGCCACGGCUAACUACGUG